GGCCUGGUAGCUCAGUUGGUUAGAGCAUCAUCUGAUAUGCCAAGAUUGUGGGUUUGAUCCCUGGUCAGGCCA
rnacentral:tRNA from 1 species